UACGUAGGGUGCAAGCGCUGUCCGGAAUUAUUGGGCGUAAAGAGCUCGUAGGCGGUUUGUCGCGUCUGCUGUGAAAACUGGAGGCUCAACCUCCAGCCUGCAGUGGGUACGGGCAGACUAGAGUGCGGUAGGGGAGAUUGGAAUUCCUGGUGUAGCGGUGGAAUGCGCAGAUAUCAGGAGGAACACCGAUGGCGAAGGCAGAUCUCUGGGCCGUAACUGACGCUGAGGAGCGAAAGCGUGGGGAGCGAACAGG
rnacentral:rRNA from 1 species